rnacentral:rRNA from 1 species
UUGAUCCUGCCGGACCCGACUGCUAUCAGAGUGGGACUAAGCCAUGCGAGUCAACGCAGCAAUGCGUGGCAUACGGCUCAGUAACACGUAGUCAACAUGCCCAGGGGACGUGGAUAACCUCGGGAAACUGAGGAUAAACCGCGAUAGGCCAAGGUUUCUGGAAUGGACACUGGCUGAAACCUAUAUGGCCCCUGGAUUGGACUGCGGCCGAUCAGGCUGUUGGUGAGGUAAUGGCCCACCAAACCUGUAACCGGUACGGGCUUUGAGAGAAGGAGCCCGGAGAUGGGCACUGAGACAAGGGCCCAGGCCCUAUGGGGCGCAGCAGGCGCGAAAAUUCUGCAAUAGGCGAAAGCUUGACAGAGUUACUCUGAGUGAUGCCCGCUAAGGGCAUCUUUUGGCACCUCUAAAAAUGGUGCAGAAUAAGGGGUGGGCAAGUCUGGUGUCGGCCGCCGCGGUAAUACCAGCACCCCGAGUGGUCGGGACGAUUAUUGGGCCUAAAGCAUCCGUAGCUUGUUCUGCAAGUCUUCCGUUAAAUCCACCUGCUCAACAGAUGGGCUGCGGGAGAUACUACAGGGCUAGGAGGCGGGAGAGGCAAGCGGUACUCAGUGGGUAGGGGUAAAAUCCUCUGAUCCACUGAAGACCACCAGUGGCGAAGGCGGCUUGCCAGAACGCGCUCGACGGUGAGGGAUGAAAGCUGGGGGAGCAAACCGGAUUAGAUACC